CGUUGCUUCGUAUCUUUUCUAUGAACAAAGCUUUCCAUUUUAAUAUUAAUUUAGUAGUUUUGACGUUGCUUCGACACCUUCCAAUGGAACAGACCUGGCUAAUCAAUAUUAAUUAGGAUAUGCUGACGAUAAACCGCAACCGUCCAAUAACGAAGGAUUGCCUCAUUAAUAUUAAGCAUCACGUCUUCUCAUAGUAGGAUUCGGCGAUACUCCCACCUGACCUCUCCCGUUUAACAUCUGUAUUUACCAUGAACCGAGUGUCCCGAGCAUAAGGCCACCGUUCAAACGUACUUACAGAAUUCUGCGAUAUAAUACGAGACCACAUAAUUCUCCUCGCACCAGUCGAGAGUUGAGGUCGGUGUUCCCCAGUAGCCCGUCCUGUCCGCCGCCGGAGCCAUGAUGAGAGAGACAUAAGAGGGAGGAGUCGCCUCACUCGCUUGUACGGAUCAGGAUCAGGAUCUCGUAUCUGAUUAACCUCUGCCUCACCUGUGCGAUGCAUCAUGGGUAAAGAGACGGAGUAGGAGCGAUGCACUAAAAACACACGAUUAUCCACCAUCUUAUGAUGAAACUGCUCAUCCCAGUGUGCUGGAGAGAAAACAGAGAAAACACCUUAUUAGUUAAUGAAUCUACAAAUUGCUUCUCAUUCUAAUGAUAAUCAAGACUUACGUUUAUAAAGCAUGGCAUUGAUGAUCAUGGCUCCAUCUGUCUUCUCCACAUCUUUGGUCACCUCGGGCAGCUUGCCGUCGGUGGACUUCGAAACCCAUUCAUUGAUUGCUUUCACCGCACUGCGCUUGUCACGGAAAUUUAUUUGGGAGUGCUCGUAAUUAUAAUGCUUCCUGCUGCUCUUCAGAAAGUCGUCGGCGAAGCUCACAGAGCUGGGCCCAUACAAAUGGUUGCUGAUCUUCCAGGUGACAUUGCGUGCUGUUGAGUUGCUGACCUCGGUGAGAAGCUCAGACAGCCCCGAGUGGAGCUGCUCAUCCUUCACUGUAGUGGCGCUCAGGAUGGUUUUGACCUGAGAAGCAGUGUUGGAUUUCCCUCCGAGAGCCACCAAACCCAGCGAGGACGCCACAACCACUGGAGAAAUCAGGAUGUUUUCAAUGUCCUUCUCUUUUGCCAGGUUUUGGUACAGGUUGAAGGCCAAAUCGGCGCUGUUGUCAGCCAGGAUGGAGGCAUGGCUGCUGAGGGUCUUGUUCGCACUCACCGUGGACAGCAGGCACAAGAGAACCACGUUUAACACCAACAUGAUUUUGGAAGUGGAAGGACUGGCAGGACGUUCUGACACUAUUGGGGGAUCAUCAGACUUCAAUCAGACUGUUUGUGCAGCUUUGCACCACCCCUCUACCAGUGAACAGCCCAAAACGUUGCCUUCGGUUGUGCAAAUACACCCUCUCAAUGAAUGACCUUUUAUUAAGCCUACAUGUCAGAGCCUGAAGAAACAAUUGAGAACGUUUGGAACUGUGAUGUGUGCAUAAAAACCUUUCUAAUCAUCACACAAACACAGUUAAUCAAAGCACUUAGCUGCUUACGAGCAUCUUUUCAGCUUUGAGUAAAGCUAUAAAAGUUCAAAAGUCUCAUACAAAAAUGUAUUUUACAUUUAAAAAAUUAAGUCAAGGAUUAUUUUUUGAAAUACAAUAUAAGAUAAAUACAAAAAAAUGUAUGCUGCUAAUGAAGACGGAAUGCAAAAUGUGUUUUCACAGCUGUAUUGGCAUCUGUUACUCACCUCUCAGAACUCCCGAAAACUUCUGCAGCCUCUUGGAUCUUUCAGCUUCCCCGGACACCAAAUCCUUAAUGCAGACCUAUAAGUAAGGAAAAGAAACUUCUAGAAGUUGGGAAAGGAGCAUUAUAAUGGUUCCCGUUUUUUCAGAGACCUCCCCCAGAUCCAGUUACUGUAGGAACUGGACUUUCUCCUCAAGGUCCUAAAGGCAGCAGGAACUGGCCCAUUUCCUGCUCACACAAUGGCUAAACUAAAGUGCUUUUUCAUGCAAGGAAAUUGAACUAGGAAUCCUGUUGUACAAACAUGAAGCACUGCAAUGCAUAAAGUAUCCUGGAACAUUCUAUUGCUUAGAAUUGGCUGUCACUUUGAACAUAAACUUUAUAGUGGACGUUCCAAACGUACAUUUUUAUAAUUCAUGAAUGAAAAUGUUUUGUAACAUGAAAUUGAUGUACCAUUUACAUGGUAAUGCAAUGUCUGAUUUUAAAAUGGGUUUUAAAGGAUGAAUUUUGAGAUUUUAAGUUUUCAGUUG